rfam:Anisakis simplex genome assembly, scaffold: ASIM_contig0022946
AUCAGACUUUUAAUCUGAGGGUCAGGGGUUCGAGUCCCCUAAGUGGCU